GUUCCCAUCUGGAACUUGUCCGAGUAUCUAGUGUGUGUGUUUGUGGAGUGAUUGUGCUUAUGGUGCAUGGUGGUACUGGCCUCCACUCCCGGACGCAGUGCAUCGGCCGCAUAAGUGGCUAAGAAUGGUUGCCUUCUUCCCUGGAGUGGAUUUCGGGAUGCAGUGCAUCAACAUUGAACCUGAUCUGUAGUGCUUCUUUUCAAGUUGGAAUGGACUUGUGGACUUCAGAAUAGAGCGCAUCAAGAACCAAACUGAGUGAGUACCAAUCUUAAAAGUUUAAGAUUUAGUUUUAAGUAAGUAAGACAUAGUUUUGUAAGUAAAGUAAGCCGGAGUCAUCGCCCGCUGCCAACGUACAAGGAUCGCUGAGAAAUAAACAACUUUAUCACCUUCAUCGCUCAUCUUCAGCAACACGGAGUGGACAACUUGCCAAAAAAGGUGUUGGUGUGUUUGCAGUCGUUGCUGAAGAUAGAUGGCGAUACCAUGGCACUACUAUCCAGGCUGCAGCUUCGAGAACCUAGCUAGGUUCCAGGUUUGUUUGUGUUUCUUAAAUGGACGUUGGUGCUUGGGUACUAGUGUCCAGACUGCAGAAUGGAGAACCUAGCAAGGUUCCAAGUGUGUGUGUUUGUAUUUCUUAAACGGACGUUGAUACUUGGGUACUAGUAUUCAGUCUGCAGAUUCGAGAACCUAACAAGGUUCCAAGUGUGUGUUUGUUUUUGUGUUUGUUAAAUGGAUGUUGAUGCCGAGAGCACCUUAAAUUUACCUGAAAACAGGAUGCAGGACACAGGAUACUUGAGAUUAUACGCAUGAAUGGCUCGAUCUUUUAGGAGCACCAAUUUAGCUAAUCUGCCAUAAGGAUGGGGAAUAUUUUUGAAAUGUAUGCAGAGUGUUUCCCGCUCGCCCCUGCUAAUAGUUUGUCCGGCUGAUGGAUGGCCUCCUUGCUCCGCCGGCAGGAUGAAUUGCGCCCCAGGAAGUCCGGAUGACUGGAAGACCGGCUAGCCGCCCUCCGAGUGACGUACAUCCACCCAUACAUCAAGUGCAAGCAGACAUGAAAUUUGAUUACCAAAACAGCAGUGCUGGCUUUUAGCCGGCAAACCAAACACAUUUUCUUCCGCCCAUUGUACAGCGUACAGAAUAUGAUUAAUCGCAGCUGCAAAUGCAGCUGCAGUCCGAGCGAAAGCCACUGGCUAAUCAGUUUUCCUGUCUUUCGUCAACACCAAGAUGGCACGGAGUGGGUCUGCUAAUUAUGUUGGGGAUGAAAUCGGACCACCCCCAUUUCGCCAGGACAUUGUGGUGUGCUUUCUUAAGCCUACACAAGGAGAAAAUACAAAGAAAUUGGUAAGACAUAUUCGUUCUUGGCUGAAUUUCGAAGUCGAUAAGCCAAGUCUUGGAGCUGCAUAAUUAAAUUAAUUAUAAUUAAAACAAAUGAGUAUUUCCAUCUGAGGUAAAAUUGUUUUUUGUUGAAUUUGAAGUACUCUCUUCCCAUUUUAUUGUUGCGGUGCAUCGUGCUGUGGUGACAAAUGCAAUAAAGAGCGAAGGCGAGAAGCUUUCAUUGAUGACGGUGGGGAGCAUGGAGGCUUACUGUUGCCAGUUUGAUUAAUGACGGCGAUUGCCACGACCGAUGUGCGGAUGGAGGAUGGAGGAGGGAGAAGGGGGACUUCCGAGGGGCUUUCAGCGGAGUCUCCUUUGGCAGGGGCCGACCCCGGCAUUGGCCACUUUCAUGGCCAAGCCACUUUAUUACUGCGAGGAGAACUAAGUUGUCUGCCCGGACGGCCAUAAAACAUCUUCACAGAGUCAUUUUAAGUCAGAGAAAACGCUGCCACAAGCCGGGAAUCAAUCAGGAGGGGCGGCAAAGGGGGCGUAACCGGAGUGCAGCCCCACUGUCAUCAAUGUUUACGACUGGCCAUAAUGACGAAACACUGCGAAAAGGAGGAGGAGAC